rnacentral:lncRNA from 1 species
AUGCUAGCCACAAGGAGGGUAUUUCUCCGGGGGCGGGGUGCAGUGGGGAGACUGAUGCUAGUCCUGUUGUGUUUUGUUUGGCUGUCCAUGUGUAUUUUCACCCCGGCCUCUAGUCCCCUCCACCACCCUCCCCCCACUUCAAUGCCCAGGAACUUGUGGGGAGCAAGGGUCGCCAAUGGCAGAGGGGCUGGGGCUGGGACUCUGGGCUCCUCCGCUUCUCUUGCCUCUCCCCCUCCCCUUCCUCCCAGCUGCUCUGUCACUGGCUCUGAUGGGCAUUUGCCUGGCUGUGUUGCUUCUCUAUCUGUAUCUAGCUGCAGUGAUCCUUUAGCUGGUUGGCUCAGAAAAAUGUGCUUUAGGCGCCCUGUGGUACUGGGCACUGAGGGAAUCCAGCCUUCCCCUUUUUUGGUGUGUUCUCCCCAUACUUUCCAGAUUCUUACUGUUAUGGCUCCCAGUGGGGUGUUGGUGAUCCAUGUGACGCAGGGCCUCAGUCAGUAUCCAGCCACGUGUACGGGAGAGGAUAACUUGUGCCUGCCCUGCCCGCUGCUGUGGAGGCCUCUGCCCGUGGGUUGUGGGACUUCCCGGGGGGAGUUCGGAAGGGGUUGGGCACAAAGGAGAGUGUCCAACUUGGGAGGGCAGGAAGCAAAGAAACUGGACAGGAAGUGGGCUUGGGGAACGGAAGUUUAUCUCGGAUACCUAAGGCUGGGUCUCUUAACAAGGAGACUCAAAAAGGGACCCUGCUUCCAAUUUCCCUCUUCCAUUCUCAGAGCAAGUACAGGGCUUAGAAGAAUGCCCUUGGUCUGUUGGUCCAGUGGUUGUCUGUCAUCCAUUUAAGUGUUCCCACUUUCAAGUGACAAUCCUCUCCUUGGCCCUGCCAUGGGCAGAGCAUGUCUGGCAUACCAGCCUGACUUUUAUGCCCUAAUCUUGAGUUGAGGAAAUAUAUGCACAGGAGUCAAAAGAGAUGUCUUUAUAUCUGACUGUACAUAAAUGAAGUUUUUUUUUUUUUCUUUUUGGUGCAAUAAAGUUUGUUUUGGCAGAAGGAGGAAGCGACUA